rnacentral:rRNA from 1 species
AGUGAACGCUGGCGGUAGGCCUAACGCAUGCAAGUCGAACGGCAACACAGUAACAGCUUGCUCUUACGGGUGGCGAGUGGCGGACGGGUGCGGAAUACAUCGGAAUCUACUUUUUCGUGGGGGAUAACGUAGGGAAACUUACGCUAAUACCGCAUACGACCUACGGGUGACAGCAGGGGAUCUUUGGACCUUGCGCGAUUGAAUGAGCCGAUGUCGGAUUAGCUAGUUGGCGGGGUAAAGGCCCACCAAGGCGACGAUCCGUAGCUGGUCUGAGAGGAUGAUCAGCCACACUGGAACUGAGACACGGUCCAGACUCCUACGGGAGGCAGCAGUGGGGAAUAUUGGACAAUGGGCGCAAGCCUGAUCCAGCCAUACCGCGUGGGUGAAGAAGGCCUUCGGGUUGUAAAGCCCUUUUGUUGGGAAAGAAAAGCAGCAGGUUAAUACCCCGCUGUUCUGACGGUACCCAAAGAAUAAGCACCGGCUAACUUCGUG